AAGUUUUUUGUGUGCAAAUCCCUAAACGUACUCGUUUCUCUUCUUUACAGCAGCAUAAGAAAGAGGUGUUGAGAACUGCUCUUAACCCUUUUGGAGGCCGAAGUCAAAAGGGAACUAGAGGGCUUGACGCAUCCUUUACAUCCUGCAUUUACUCUGACCACAGUCCCUCCCUGUUCUCACAAGCGGAGCUCAGCCCUGCUUCCCUUCCUGUUGAUUCCCAGUCAGCUACAUGGUAAGUUUUCAUUAUCUCUAGACUUGUUGCCACGAGGUAAAACUCUGGCAGACUCUCUGUAAAAUCCAUUAGCACUGGGCAUUGAGGGCAGAGCACUUCAUGCCCAUCAGAGAUCGCUCAGUUGUAUUCCAGGCUGACUGCAAGGAAAGGAAGAUAGUAUUGAAUUAGCAUUGGAGCUGAACUUCAGCAUAGAUUGUUAUAGGAAUAAAAUAUGAAGUAAA
rnacentral:lncRNA from 12 species